AUAUGAAGAAGAUCAGGAGGAUAAUGAAGAAGAGGAAGGAGGACUGAGUCAAUCUGGAAAAGAGUUGAGGAAGCUGCUCGGGAAAAAUAGUGGGGUCAAUGAAUCCGAGCCAGAGCAAGAGGACGAUGACGACGAUGAUAUUGAUGACGAAAGUUCCCUGUUCUUGCACCAAAGGCUAAUAAUAACGGGGUCCAUCAAAGCUUAAUAACAACCCUCUUAAAGAGGAACCCGUUGAUAAUAGCCCCUCAAAGCCAGCAGCUGCUACAACAUCAGCUCGGGGAACCCCAUCUUCAAAUAAGUCGGCUAAGGGAAAGCGAAAAAGCACCGAGAGAACAAACCGUCAAAUGGUGCCGCCACAGCUUAAAAGAAAGUCAAAACCGAAAAUGACGUGAAACAUGUAAAGGAGGAGCCUGCAAAGGCCGGUAAAGGUUCAUCAAUGUGGCCAUGAGCAUCAACCCUGAAG